rnacentral:rRNA from 1 species
AUGAACGCUAGCGGCAGGCCUAACACAUGCAAGUCGAGGGGCAUCGGGAUUGAAGCUUGCUUCAAUUGCCGGCGACCGGCGCACGGGUGCGUAACGCGUAUGUAACCUACCUAUAACAGGGGCAUAACACUGAGAAAUUGGUACUAAUUCCCCAUAAUAUUCGGAGAGGCAUCUCUCCGGGUUGAAAACUCCGGUGGUUAUAGAUGGACAUGCGUUGUAUUAGCUAGUUGGUGAGGUAACGGCUCACCAAGGCAACGAUACAUAGGGGGACUGAGAGGUUAACCCCCCACACUGGUACUGAGACACGGACCAGACUCCUACGGGAGGCAGCAGUGAGGAAUAUUGGUCAAUGGACGCAAGUCUGAACCAGCCAUGCCGCGUGCAGGAAGACGGCUCUAUGAGUUGUAAACUGCUUUUGUACGAGGGUAAACUCACCUACGUGUAGGUGACUGAAAGUAUCGUACGAAUAAGGAUCGGCUAACUCCGUGCCAGCAGCCGCGGUAAUACGGAGGAUUCAAGCGUUAUCCGGAUUUAUUGGGUUUAAAGGGUGCGUAGGCGGUUUGAUAAGUUAGAGGUGAAAUCCCGGGGCUUAACUCCGGAACUGCCUCUAAUACUGUUAGACUAGAGAGUAGUUGCGGUAGGCGGAAUGUAUGGUGUAGCGGUGAAAUGCUUAGAGAUCAUACAGAACACCGAUUGCGAAGGCAGCUUACCAAACUAUAUCUGACGUUGAGGCACGAAAGUGUGGGGAGCAAACAGGAUUAGAUACCCUGGUAGUCCACACCGUAAACGAUGGAUACUAGGUGUAGGGAAUGAUUUCAUUUUCUGUGCCGUCGCAAACGCAAUAAGUAUCCCACCUGGGGAGUACGGCCGCAAGGUUGAAACUCAAAGGAAUUGACGGGGGCCCGCACAAGCGGAGGAACAUGUGGUUUAAUUCGAUGAUACGCGAGGAACCUUACCCGGGCUUGAAAGUUACUGACGAUUCUGGAAACAGGAUUUCCCUUCGGGGCAGGAAACUAGGUGCUGCAUGGUUGUCGUCAGCUCGUGUCGUGAGAUGUUGGGUUAAGUCCCGCAACGAGCGCAACCCUUAUCGUCCGUUACUAACAGGCAAUGCUGAGGACUCAGACGAGACCGCCGGGGACAACUCGGAGGAAGGUGGGGACGACGUCAAAUCAUCAUGCCCUAUAUGUCCUGGGCUACACACGUACUACAAUGGCUGUAACAGAGAGAAGCAACACCGCGAGGUAGAGCGAAACUCCAAAAGCAGUCUCAGUUCGGAUUGAAGGCUGAAAUUCGCCUUCAUGAAGCCGGAAUUGCUAGUAAUGGCAGGUCAGCAUACUGCCGUGAAUACGUUCCCGGGCCUUGUACACACCGCCCGUCACACCAUGAGAGUUGGGAAUACCCGAAGCCUGUGAGCCAACUAAUUUAUUAGAGGCAGCAGUCGAAGGUAGAAUCAAUGAUUGGGGUG